rnacentral:tRNA from 1 species
GGUGACAUAGCCAACUAGGAAAGGCAAAAGAUUAGCAUAAAUCUUUGAGUGGUGGUUCGAAUCCACCUGUCACCU